rnacentral:rRNA from 1 species
GAGUUUGAUCAUGGCUCAGGGUGAACGCUGGCGGCGCGCUUAAUGCAUGCAAGUCGAGCGUGAUCGUGGCUUCGGCCACAAUGAUAAAGCGGCAGACGGCUGAGUAACGCGUGAGUAAUCUGCCCUCCGGUGGGGUAUAACCUCGGGAAACUGAGGAUAAUCCCGCAUACGACCUGCAUCCCUUGGGGUGCAGAUGAAAGGCUUCGGUCGCCGGAGGAGGAGCUCGCGUCCUAUCAGGUUGUUGGUGGGGUAAUGGCCCACCAAGCCGAUGACGGGUAGCUGGUCUGAGAGGAUGACCAGCCAGAGGGGGACUGAGAACGGCCCCCACUCCUACGGGAGGCAGCAGCAGGGAAUCUUGGGCAAUGGGCGAAAGCCUGACCCAGCGACGUCGCGUGGGGGACGAAGGCCUUAGGGUUGUAAACCCCUUUUCCGAGGGAAGAUACAGGACGGUACCUCGGGAAUAAGCCCCGGCUAACUACGUGCCAGCAGCCGCGGUAAUACGUAGGGGGCAAGCGUUACCCGGAAUCACUGGGCGUAAAGUG